GUCUUUGUAGCUCAGAUGGAUAGAGCGAUUCUCUCCUAAAGAAUAGGUCAACAGUUCGAAUCUGUUCAAGGACA
rnacentral:tRNA from 1 species